rnacentral:rRNA from 1 species
AACGACUCUCGGCAACGGAUAUCUCGGCUCACGCAUCGAUGAAGAACGUAGCAAAAUGCGAUACUUGGUGUGAAUUGCAGAAUCCCGUGAACCAUCGAGUUUUUGAACGCAAGUUGCGCCCGAAGCCUUUUGGYCGAGGGCACGUCUGCCUGGGCGUCACGC